rnacentral:lncRNA from 1 species
GGGCAACCGAGUAUAGCAGUCCUACAAUUAGGGACGAGCAUGGCAAUAUGGAGAUCUCGGCUAGAUUGGGUAUUGUGAUUAGUUCAUCUAGAUCUUCCAGACAAAGAUCCUCUAUGAUGGCCUAGUCCAUUGAAUCGGCCCAUCUCAAAAGUAGCCCAAGCCUACAUGGAAAGAAAAAGAAUUUGAAGAAGACUCCCUUCCUCAAAAAAUCUGAAUGGGAGUCAGAAAACAUGUGGCCACCUGAGAGAGAGGAGCUUAGGGCUUUUCUAUAAGAACCCCCACCAGGGCCCUCCAGUAAAGAGCAUCGUACCUCCUCUUCUUUCUUUCUCUAACUUUUCUCCCUCAGGCUCACCAAUUACUAGCAUUAUGCCCAC